rnacentral:tRNA from 1 species
GCCGGAGUGGCGGAAUUGGUAGACGCGCUAGAUUCAGGUUCUAGUGGGCAUACUGCCUGUCGGGGUUCGAGUCCCCGCUCCGGCACCA